ACACAUGCAAGUCGAACGAAGUUUUUCUUUCGGGAGAAACUUAGUGGCGGACGGGUGAGUAACGCGUGGGUAACCUGCCCUGUACAGGGGGACAACAGCUGGAAACGGCUGCUAAUACCGCAUAAGCCCUUAGCACUGCAUGGUGCAUAGGGAAAAGGAGUAAUCCGGUACAGGAUGGACCCGCGUCUGAUUAGCCAGUUGGCAGGGUAACGGCCUACCAAAGCGACGAUCAGUAGCCGAUCUGAGAGGAUGUACGGCCACAUUGGGACUGAGACACGGCCCAGACUCCUACGGGAGGCAGCAGUGGGGAAUAUUGCACAAUGGAGGAAACUCUGAUGCAGCGACGCCGCGUGAGUGAAGAAGUAUUUCGGUAUGUAAAGCUCUAUCAGCAGGGAAGAAAAUGACGGUACCUGACUAAGAAGCACCGGCUAAAUACGUGCCAGCAGCCGCGGUAAUACGUAUGGUGCAAGCGUUAUCCGGAUUUACUGGGUGUAAAGGGAGCGUAGGUGGCAAGGCAAGCCAGAAGUGAAAACCCGGGGCUCAACCGCGGGAUUGCUUUUGGAACUGUCAUGCUAGAGUGCAGGAGGGGUGAGCGGAAUUCCUAGUGUAGCGGUGAAAUGCGUAGAUAUUAGGAGGAACACCGGAGGCGAAGGCGGCUCACUGGACUGUAACUGACACUGAGGCUCGAAAGCGUGGGGAGCAAACAGGAUUAGAUACCCUGGUAGUCCACGCGGUAAACGAUGAAUACUAGAUGUCGGGUAGCAAAGCUACUCGGUGUCGUCGCAAACGCAAUAAGUAUUCCACCUGGGG
rnacentral:rRNA from 1 species